UACGUAGGGGGCAAGCGUUAUCCGGAUUUACUGGGUGUAAAGGGAGCGUAGGCGGCAAGGUAAGCCAGAAGUGAAAGCCCGCAGCUCAACUGCGGGACUGCUUUUGAAACUGCCAAGCUAGAGUGUCGGAGAGGUAAGUGGAAUUCCUAGUGUAGCGGUGAAGUGCGUAGAUAUUAGGAGGAACACCAGUGGCGAAGGCGGGUUCCUGGACAUUAACUGACGCUGAGGCACGAAGGCCAGGGGAGCGAAAGGG
rnacentral:rRNA from 1 species